AUUUAGGGUGGCAGAGCCAGGUUAAACUGUAAAAGGCCUAAGCCCUUUCCACAGAUGUUCAAAUCAUCUCCCUAAUA
rnacentral:tRNA from 1 species